rnacentral:rRNA from 1 species
CCAGCAGCCGCGGUAAUACGGAGGGUGCAAGCGUUAAUCGGAAUUCUGGGGCGUAAAGCGCACGCAGGCGGUUUGUUAAGUCAGAUGUGAAAUCCCCGGGCCCUAUUUGGGAACUGCAUCUGAUACUGGCAAGCUUGAGUCUCGCUUAGGGGGGUAGAAUUCCACGGUGUAGCGGUGAAAUGCGUAGAGAUCUGGAGGAAUACCGGUGGCGAAGGCGGCCCCCUGGACGAAGACUGACGCUCAGGUGCGAAAGCGUGGGGAGCAAACAGGAUUAAUAACCCUGGUAAACUCU